UGCUUAAGGCUAGCUAACACUCUACCACUGGAGCCAUAUUCCCAGAGGUUUUAAUCCUUCUUUUCUAUAGUCAUUUAGCUUUGGGCCUGAGGCAGUGUAGUACAUCUUGGCAGUAAUUUUUGACCAUGGAGUCUACUUACCCCUAGUCUCCGGAAAGCAAACAAGGCAGGAUUUAGGUACUAACAUUCCCUUAGGGCCAAGCUUCCAGUGACCUGACUUCUCCUAUAGUGCUUUAUACCAUGAUACAACAGCACCAAAGGCUAAAGAGCAAACCUUUCAUUCUUUGGCCUUUGGGGGAUGCUUUGGAUCUACCUUCCAGCACCGGGGUUCAGUAUGGUUGGCAAUGAAUUCUGAUGAUAGUAUUGGUAUUUAGGGUAAAAAUACAAACAGGCCAAUCCCUGGCCUUUAAUACUCUCAAUUUAGAAGAUAAAAGUAAAGUGAGAAAAACUAUAGUGAUUUUAUAAAUUUGUUCUUUGAGUCUAGGUUCACUGUAGAUACAACCAAGUUUUAUAUAUGUAGCAAAUCAUGUUUUUUUAUAUUUCCUAGUAUGAGGGGUUGUUUUUUUCUCUCAUAAAGACCUAAGGAAUGCAAUGGCUUUCAGAACACAGGAGGGCUUGGGAGAAGGGAGAAGGGAGAAGGGAGAAAAAAAAUAACUGGACAAUUUCUGUUGCCACAAGGUUCUUAGCUCUAUGCUGAUGACUCAACUAGAAGAUACUGUAAGUGAGAAUACUAAGGAACAGUAACCAAGGAAGGAAGGAAUUCAGCUUGGGUCUACUUGACUCAAAGUUAUAAUUUUAUGACAGUUGGUAAAGAAAAGAAGUUAGAAGACAGGUGUAAGAAAAUGCCCAUGUUGGGGCACUGUAUUAAAG